rnacentral:rRNA from 1 species
UACUCCUACGGGAGGCAGCAGUGAGGAAUAUUGCGCAAUGGAGGCAACUCUGACGCAGCCAUGCCGCGUGCAGGAAGAAGGCGCUACGCGUUGUAAACUGCUUUUAUCCGGGAAGAAACCCCAGGACGUGUCCUGGGUUGACGGUACCGGAGGAAUAAGCACCGGCUAACUUCGUGCCAGCAGCCGCGGUAAUACGAAGGGUGCAAGCGUUAUCCGGAUUCAUUGGGUUUAAAGGGUGCGUAGGUGGGGCGAUAAGUCAGCGGUGAAAUCCUGCAGCUCAACUGCAGAAUUGCCGUUGAUACUGUCGCUCUUGAGUACGCUUGACGUGGGCGGAAUGUGUCGUGUAGCGGUGAAAUGCUUAGAUAUGGCACAGAACACCGAUAGUGAAGACAGCUCACGAAGGCGAAACUGACACUGAGGCACGAAAGCGUGGGGAUCGAACAGGAUUAGAUACCCUGGUAGUCACGGGGGUACUCCUACGGGAGGCAGCAGGAUUAGAUACCCUGGUAGUCA